rnacentral:rRNA from 1 species
UACGAAGGUGGCAAGCGUUGUUCGGAUUUACUGGGCGUACAGGGAGCGUAGGCGGUUGGAUAAGCCCUCCGUGAAAUCUCCAGGCUUAACCUGGAAAGUGCAGAGGGGACUGUUCAGCUAGAGGAUGGGAGAGGAGCGCGGAAUUCCCGGUGUAGCGGUGAAAUGCGUAGAGAUCGGGAGGAACACCUGUGGCGAAGGCGGCCCCCUGGGCCGGCCCUGACACUGAGACGCGAAGGCGUGGGGAGCGAACGGG